UCAUCUUGGAUUCGGUCAUCUAUUUUCACACUCUUUCAGGAACUACAUACUUUCCGUUCGAAAACUCGGCAGCUACUCGUAUCAACCACAUGUAACUAUAUCUGGAUGCCUGCAUGACUAAAGUUUCCCUAGAAAAUAUUAUGUUGAUCAGCGGUUCGAACAAGUUGGUCUGCCUCGUCUGAUUGUGCGUUCCAGCCUCAGGACACUUUCCAUGCAUCAACUUCAUCCAAGGUUUGACCUACCAGUGAGAAAAUAAUCCACGGAAAGAAAGUAAAUUGGGCUGACGAACCUUUUCUUCCUUACAUUUUCCAUUGUACACGUCGUCAGAUAUGUCGUUUCACCCAAUGAAUCUGCUACAAUAAUUCAUUUUCUCUUUCUCCUACAAUACAACUAGGAAUGGAAGGUAUUUCGAGAGCCUUUACUAAAAAAGAAGUAAAAACGUGGCCACUUCUGAAGAGGAUAAUUUUCUCCAACCCGGGACACGGAGACAUUUCUCUCUCCAUAGAGUUUCUUCGUGUGUUUUCUAUCUCGCUAUCGCGGUGCGUCUCCGGUUCAAGGCCUCGUCUUGCAUCUAUCUAUGCAUGCCCUUCUUCACUCGCUUAUCGUUGCGUUCUGAAAAAGCACCAUUCCCAAGGCUAUGGCUCUUUCGUGUGAAAUUGCAUUUAUUUUUCUUUUUUAAUCAGCCUGGCGGGGCGAAGCAUUCCUAUAUGACGCGUAAUAACCCCAUACCUCGGCAAAACUCACUCAUGCUCACUCGUGCUCAAUGUAGCGAAUGAGCUGAGCAGGGAACGAGUGAGCAUGAGUCAGCAAACGAGAAUAUGAACAUGGGCAAAACUCACUCGUGGUCAUGAAUGAGCAACGACCAGGAAGACAGAGCGCUCGAUCUAAGAAAGGUUUUUGAGGAAUAAUUUCGAUACUUUGCCCACAUACGUUUCACUAUCUCUGCUCUACAGUAUGAAAGCCUUCAAGAAGUGUCAGGCAGAGUACGUCCAUACAAAUGAAAAGCCAAUCUCACGACGUCAGCUUUAGCAUAAAGCCUCGCGAUCAAGGUUAUUGAUAAGGGGGAAUGUGUACCCAGAUCGAUAUUCAUCUCUUUCACGGUCGUCCCAUCAGCCGAACCUAAAAUCAUUACGGUUUAUACGGUUCAACUAAAGCACGUCCCCCCCCCCCCCCCCAAAAAAAAAAAAGAAACUCGUAACAAAUUAUGAUGGUCCUCGCUCAUUGCCCAAAUUGCCCCGAAUAGUGUUUAGACUGAAACCCCAUAGAAUCACAGUAUCCAGCAUAGAUCUGCACCAAAUCCUACUAUCACUGCACAUCAAUAUGAGAUUUUUGAAGGAGAUAUUGAAGCUGAGGAAAAUCUUCAAGCAGCUCCUACACGGCUGCGACAGAUAAUACGAGUGUAGAGGCCGUCCCUCUUCAAACGGUUAAUGCGGGGAUCAAAAGGAUGCUCUCACGUGUUCCGACAGACCUUCCAAACAGAACCCCAUCUCUACACAGCCACUUCGCGGCGCUAGCAAAAACAAGUUUGGUGACACCCGAGCAGCGUCCGCCAUCUCUGGACGGUGUUCCAAAGAGGAAAGGAUUUGUUGAAAACGGACCGUACUCGGUGGGACUGGGUCGUUCCUGCCUGUAUACCGCUGGAACUGAGAUGAAGCUAUAAAUAUCAUUUUCUCUUGA